UUCAAUAUGCUUGAGAAGACUUGACACAAAAAUAGCAGUGUUACGGUACGACGCAAAGGACACUAGAGAGAAGCAUCAUGUCUGAUGGGAAACAUGAAAUUUUUCCUGGUUGUGGAACAAUUAGACCUUCUGCUGACUUCCUUUCCAGAAGAAAGAUGAAGAAAAGGAAGAAGAAGAGGAAGAGGAAGAAGGAGAAGGAGGAGAGGAAGAGGAAGAGGAAGAAAAUAA